rnacentral:tRNA from 1 species
GGCCCCGUAGCUCAGAUGGAUAGAGCAUCAGCCUUCUAAGCUGAGGGUCCCUGGUUCGAAUCCAGGCGGGGUCGCCA